GUUAUCCGGAUUUAUUGGGUGUAAAGGGUGCGUAGGCGGUUUAUUAAGUCUAAAAUUAAAGCCUGGGGCUUAACCUCAGUUCGUUUUAGAAACUGGUAGGCUUGAGUAUGGUAGAGGUAAGUGGAAUUUCUAGUGUAGCGGUUAAAUGCGUAGAUAUUAGGAGGAACACCAGUGGCGAAGGCGACUUGCUGGACAUUAACUGACGCUGAGGCGCGAAAGCGUGGGGAGC
rnacentral:rRNA from 1 species